rnacentral:lncRNA from 1 species
AGUAGGGGUGUGCAAAUAAUAAGGUUAACCAUACCCAAAUUACUAACCAAACCAUUUCCAUUUUUUAAAAGCCCAACCCAUUUUAUAAAAAAACCAACCCAGACCAUAAAACAUAAAAAUGGUAAACCGGUUUACCAUUUCACUUAGUUGGUUUAGAACCGGUUUAUUCUUCUCAAAAUUAAUUUCAAAAGUGAGAAACCAAAUAACACAGUGAGAAACCAAAUCACAACAUCACAGUUUCAUCAAUCAUCGCAAAUCCUCCUCCUCCGUCAAACCCACUCUCCUCCUCCGUCAAACCCACUCCCACCGGCGAAUCCUCCUCCGUCAAACCCACUCUCCNNNNNNNNNNNNNNNNNNUUAAAUCGCAAAAUCAGCUUAAUCGGUGAGUGAAUCUAAUAAUCUAAUGUUGAUUUCUGUUGAAUAACUUGUUGAAUCUGUUGAGUAGUUCUAUAAUUAAGUAGUUCUUGUGUAUUGCUAUUCUUCUGCUGCUACAAUUACUGUUGAUUAGUUCUAUAAUUAAGUAGUUCUUGUGUAUUGCUAUUCUAAUGUUGAUUUCCACAGAAAAGGUAUAUGAAUUUGAUGGUAAAUAACCAUAGAUGAUGCAUUCUUCUGCUGCUACAAUUACUGUUUCUUAUCAUUACUGUUUUCGUGCUCAAUAUACAAUCAGUUUGUGUUCUGGCAUUGUGUGCAUUUUUCGUUGAUGGAUAGCUUAUUGAAUAAUCUGUUGAAUCUGUUGAAUAGCUUAUUGAAUAAUCUGUUGAUAAUCCGUUGAAUAGCUUGUUGAAUCUGUUGAAUAAUAUAUUCAUUAGAUUAUUAGCUUAUUGAAUAAUAUAUUCAUUAUAUUCAUUAGCUUAUUAUGAUUGUCUAUUUGACAGUGUUGAAAUGAAUACUCAUGGCGCUUCCGAGANNNNNNNNNNNNNNNNNNNNNNNNNNNNNNNNNNNNNNNNNNNNNNNNNNNNNNNNNNNNNNNNNNNNNNNNNNNNNNNNNNNNNNNNNNNNNNNNAACGGCAAAUAUGGAAGGGAGUUCUUCUAUAAUCUCGAAGUUUGAUCAAGUGGAACUUCGGAAAGCAUUGGUGAAAAUGUUCAUAGCUUUGGAGCUUCCUUUUAGAAAGGUGGACCAUGAAGCUCUUCAUCAUUUUAUAAACCUUGGAAUACCACAAUUUAAGAUUCCCUCACGCACUACACUAUCCCGUGACACCUUAUCAUUGUGGGACAGCGAGAAAACAAAGUUGAAAACUUUCCUUUCCCAACAUUGUGGUAGAGUUUGCCUAACUACCGACUUUUGGACUUCUUGCCAAAACUACAGUUAUAUGUCUAUGACGGCCCAUUUUGUUGACAACAACUGGAAGUUGAACAAGAAGAUUUUAAAUUUUUGUAAAGUGUCAGGCCAUUCAGGAGAGGUGAUGGCUCAAACAGUGUGGAAUUGCUUAUCUAGUUGGGACUUAAAUCAGGUGCUCACAAUGACAGUUGACAAUGCAUCAUCAAAUGAUGUUGGAAUUUCAUACCUCAAAAAGUCCCUCAUGCCUGAUUUAGUUAUGGAAGGAAAAUAUUUUCAUACUCGUUGUUUUGCUCAUGUCUUAAAUUUGAUCGUGAAGGACGGUCUAAAGGACAUUGAUAAUUCAGUUUUGAGGAUUCGCGGUGCAGUGAAGUACAUUCAAUCUUCCGGUACUAGGUAUGAUAAAUUCAAGGCUUGUAUUGAUCCACAAAAAGUAGAAUAUAAGGGUUUUGUCAACUUAGAUGGUGACACAAGAUGGAAUUCUACUUAUUUGAUGCUUGAGGCUGCUUUGAAACAUAUGUCAACAUUUGCAAAGUUAGAGAUGCAUGAUCGUGCCUAUGUUAGGGAGUUACAAAGUGGGAAAGGUCUCCCUUUGCUCGAGGAUUGGGAAUAUGUGCACUCAAUUCUCCCAUUUUUAGCAUUGUUUCACGAUGCUACAGUGCGCAUCUCUGGUUCCUCCUAUGCAACUAGCAAUAUGUACAUGUUUGAGGUAUUUGGGAUUGGAAAGAAAAUAAGGGAAAUGUGUGAUCAUCUAGAUUUGCGUAUAAGAUCGAUGGCUAAAAGUAUGAAGAUAAAGUAUGAUAAGUAUUGGGGGGAACCCAACAGCCUAAACUCGUUGCUUUUGAUUGCUCUUAUAUUAGAUCCCAGGCACAAAAUGAAGUUUAUCAAUUGGUAUGCUGAGCAUUUCUUUGGUAGCGAUGAGGCAAAAAGUUUCAAAGAAAAUGUAAAUUCAAGUUUGAAUUCACUUUUCAACGAGUAUAAUGGCCAGGUGGGAGAGUCUCAUGCUAGCUCACAAGAAUACCGACCAAAUGAAGGUGGUAAAGCUGAUCCGUAUGGCUUUAAGCCAUUCUACAAGUCAAGUGGACGCAACAAAGCUGAUUCUGAAGUAACAAAGUACUUGGAUGAAAUAUUAGAGGAAGAAGGGGAUUUAGAUGUCCUAAUUUGGUGGAAGGAUAAUUGUACUCGAUAUCCAGUCCUUGCAAGAA